AACGCACGAGACCUGCGGACCUGCGGAAGGAUCAUUACCGAGUGAGGGCCCUCUGGGUCCAACCUCCCACCCGUGUUUAUCGUACCUUGUUGCUUCGGCGGGCCCGCCGUCACGGCCGCCGGGGGGCACCCGCCCCCGGGCCCGCGCCCGCCGAAGACACCCCUGAACGCUGUCUGAAGAUUGCAGUCUGAGCGAUUAGCUAAAUCAGUUAAAACUUUCAACAACGGAUCUCUAGAUCGG
rnacentral:misc_RNA from 1 species